rnacentral:rRNA from 1 species
CCAAUAGCGUAUAUUAAAGUUGUUGCAGUUAAAAAGCUCGUAGUUGAACUUCGGGGUUCACCCAUUGGUCAGGCUUAAUUGUCUGCACUGGUGAGAUGAGUCUCUACCUUCUGAGGAACUUUCAUGCCAUUUAUUUGGUGUGGUUGGAAAUCAGGACUGUUACUUUGAAAAAAUUAGAGUGUUUAAAGCAGGCUAACGUCUGAAUACAUUAGCAUGGAAUAAUGAAAUAGGACGGACUGAUUCUAUUUCGUUGGUUUCUAGGAUCACCGUAAUGAUUAAUAGGAGUAGUUGGGGGCAUUAGUAUUCAUUUGUCGGAGGUGAAAUUCUUGGAUUUAUUGAAGACUAACUACUGCGAAAGCAUUUGCCAAGGAUGUUGUCAUUAAUCAAGAACGAAAGUUAGGGGAUCGAAGACGAUCAGAUACCGUCGUAGUCUUAACCAUAAACUAUGCCGACUAGGGAUCGGACGAAGUUAAUUUUAUAAUGACGCGUUCGGCACCUUACG